rnacentral:rRNA from 1 species
GCGGGAGGCCCCUGGGAGGGGCCCCGGGGCCCGGCCGCGCCGGGCUCCCGCCGGAGGGACGCCCCCGAAACUCUUGCUGUACGUCAGUGGCACGUCCGAGUCAAACAAAACAAACAAAUCAAAACUUUCAACAACGGAUCUCUUGGUUCUGGCAUCGAUGAAGAACGCAGCGAAAUGCGAUAAGUAAUGUGAAUUGCAGAAUUCAGUGAAUCAUCGAAUCUUUGAACGCACAUUGCGCCCGCCAGCAUUCUGGCGGGCAUGCCUGUUCGAGCGUCAUUUCAACCCCUCGGGCCCUGGUGCCCGGCGUCGGGGCGUUCCCCUCACCCGGGAAGCCCCCAGAGACAGUGGCGGACCCGCCGCGGCUCCGAGCGCAGUAGUACAACUUUCUCGCUCUGGAGGUCCGCGGGGGGCUCCCGGCCGUAAAACCCGGCCCUCACGGGCCAUCUCCACAAGGUUGACCUCGGAUCAGGUAGGAAUA